GACGAACGCUGGCGGCGUGCCUAACACAUGCAAGUCGAGCGGGAACCUCAGGAGGGGUAACCCUUCCGAGGGGAGAGCGGCGAACGGGUGAGUAACACGUGGGCAACCUGCCCCGGACACCGGGAUAACCCAGGGAAACCUGAGCUAAUACCGGAUACUCCGGCGCGAUCGCAUGGUCGCGCCGGGAAAGCUCCGACGGUCCGGGAUGGGCCCGCGGCCUAUCAGCUUGUUGGUGGGGUAACGGCCCACCAAGGCGACGACGGGUAGCUGGUCUGAGAGGACGGCCAGCCACACUGGGACUGAGACACGGCCCAGACUCCUACGGGAGGCAGCAGUGGGGGAUCUUGCGCUAAUGCGCGAAAGCGUGACGCAGCGACGCCGCGUGGGGGAUGAAGGCCUUCGGGUUGUAAACCCCUUUCGGCAGGGACGAAGGGAAACUGACGGUACCUGCAGAAGAAGUCCCGGCUAACUACGUGCC
rnacentral:rRNA from 1 species